rnacentral:lncRNA from 1 species
UGUGCUAUAGAAAGACAUUUUGAACCAAAAAAAACACAGGAGUUUUGAGUCACCAAUUUUGACCUAUGGUUUUUCCAUUUGUGUGCUUGUAAACACCUCCCAACAUCAACAUCUUUAUGAAAUCAUGUUUAUAAAAACCAUUCCAAUCCAAAAAUAUAAAAACAAAAAAUAAAAAAAAGAUUCGAACCUUCUCAUAUAUAUUUAUAUAAGUAGAGCUUCUCAGUUGCAGAUGUCCGUAUUUAUUCUUACGCUGCAGAUUUCCACUUUACACUCCCUUUUCAAUCGAAAUUUCACAUCUCUACCGUCUAAUAUUUAGAUACAAUUGUAUAAAUAAUCUCUGUAAAAUUUCAACCAAUUUAGUUAUAAUUAAGACACUCAAAAAAACAUUAUUCUGUUAUAAAUAUGAACGGUUAAAGUUACACAGAAUUAUGUAUAUCCCUAAACCCUAACCCUAAACCCUAAACCCUAAACAUGAAUCACCCUAAACCCUAACCCUAAACCCUAACCCUAAACCCUAAACCUAAAUAACCCUAAAUAACCCUAAACCCUAACCCUUGAAUUGCCCUAACCCUAAUUAACCCUAAACUCUAAAAUACCCUAAACCCUGAAAUACCCUAAACCCUAAUUUACCCUAACCCCUGAAUUACCCUAACCCUAAACGCGAAUCACCCUAAACCCUAAACCAGAAUAACCCUAAACCACCUAAACCCUAAACCUGAAUAACCCUAAACCCUAACCGCUGAAUUGCCCUAACCCUAAUUAACCAUAAACUCUAAUAUACCCUAGACCCUGAAUUACCCUAAACCCUAAACCUAAUAACCCUAAGUCCUAACCCCAAACCCUAAAUCUGAAUAACCCCCACACCCAAACCUCUAAACCCUAUCCCUAAACCCUAAACCCUAAACCCUAUACUCUAAACCCUGAAUUACCCUAAACCCUAAUUUACCCUAACCCUUGAAUUACCCUAAACCCUAAACCUGAAUCACCAUAAGCCCCAACCCCAAACCCUAAACCCUGAAUUACCCUAAACCCUAAACCUGAAUAACCCCAAACCCUGACCUCUAACCCCUGAAUUGCCCUAACCCUAAUUAACCCUAAACUCUUGUAUACCCUAAACCCUGAAUUACCCUAAACCCUAUUUUACCCUAACCCCUGAAUUACCCUAAACCCUANNNNNNNNNNNNNNNNNNNNUGUGAAGGGUGCGUUGUACUCUUUUUCUCCUAUGAUCAAGGUUCAGUUUUUCUCCCACAGGGUUUUUGUGACUUGACGAGGUUUUUGACGAGGCAACAGAUCAGCACCAUCGGCAUAUCAGCGCGCGGCACAAGGGGGAGUGUUCUAGGAUAUUCUCUAUGUGUGCCUUGGCCUUAUGCCAAUAGGAUAUGUAGUUAGACUAGAUCUAUGUAUUCAUAUCCUUACCAUAUUGGUAUUGUGUAAUUCCCUAUAUAAAGGGCUCCUAUCAAUGAAUAAGAUGACUCUCUUGCUAUCUCUUUGUCUCUACACUUUAUUCUUCAUCAGAAUUCAUAUUUUUGAAUAAGUAUAAUUUUAAAAAUAUAUAUAUUUCACAUUAUAUUAAGUGUUUAAAUUUAAGCAUGAACAUAAUGAAAAAAUAUGGUUUCAAAAAUAUUUUUUAUAGAAUAAAGACAAAUUAAUCUAGAGCCUUAGAUUUGAGAAGGAUAAGAUUGAAUUUUUACUUUUUCAAUGUUGCCUCAGCCUUGAAUUAAUGAGCAACAUUGAAUGAGUGUAUCCGCCCAUGCCUCAGCCUUGAUUCAAAUUAAUAUUUUAAAUAGGAUGAGCGGCUAUUUUAGAUCGAAGAAGAGUUCGAAGGGCCAAAGGUCUGAAUCGUCUGAGGGAACCUCUAGCAAUCCUCAAACGUCGUUUCAGGUCCAGAUGACAGCCAGACGUGCGAGCCUUCUGGAGACGGUGCAGAGGCAACCGGAGGUGCCCCUUUCAUCGAGGCAGGCGGGCGUCCCUCUUUCCUUGAGGUAGCUGUGGCCUCAGACCCAGACGGAGGUGUCUGCACUCCGUAUGCCUGAGAUACACCGGGCGCCCACUCCAGGUCCUACUUCUUCGGAUAGUGGGUCAUCUGGGGUACAGAUGCCGCUGUCUCAUCUGUUCCUUCCGCGGAUGAUACCGGCCUUACCUGUAGUCGAUGGCUUAGGGACGCCGAUUUAUCCACUGCCCCUGCCAGUGGCUCCAUCAGCGGCGUACCGGUUCGUGCGUUUUGAUACGCCUCUUAUUUCCGUGAGGGUAUCAUCAUAGGCGACAGAGACGGAAUCCGUCGCGUCCGCCGCGAGUGCCUCAGGUAAUUAGUGAUGAAUGAUUUGUUUUCUUAUAAUUAAUAAUAAAGGGUCUCCGAUUUUAAUAAUCAAUUUGGUUCAUCAUGUGAUAGGCACCGUCGGAGCAAAGCCGACAAAGAAGAAGAGAGGCCCCGUCACAGGGAAGGCUCUCGAGAAGAUCGUGGGUACCGUGGGGAGGAUCGUCGUCAAUACUGACGGGGAUGACCACAUAGUAUCGGGCGGGAAGUCGAGGACGUACUCCGGCCGCGUGGGAGCGCUCAUUAGGGAUAGAGUCCCUAUGUUGUGGUCAGACUGGGGCGAGGUCCCACAGGAGGUUAAAGACAUGGUCCACAACGCGAUGUCGGUGAGUUUACAAAAUAAUAUUAUGUAUUACAUUGUUGAUUUCUCCAAAAAACAAAACCCAUAAACGGUUAAAUGCAGGUGUGGUUUGAGGUUCCCGAGCACCUGAAGGACAGCUGGGCGGACGUUGUGCAUGGGGGGAAGGUACGUUGGGAAGUUAAUGAAAAACAAAAUUGUAUGUGAUAUUAAUAAUAUUUCUAAUAUUUUUGUUGUAUCUGUAGGUACAAGGAGUGGAAGAACGAGUUGCGGAAUCACUGGACUACGCACGGGAACGCAUGUUCUGGUACCCCUGCUGAGUUCCAGUACAGGGAGUACGAGUGGCGUUGGCUUCUGACAUCAGAAUUCANN